rnacentral:rRNA from 1 species
AACGAACGCUGGCGGCAGGCUUAACACAUGCAAGUCGAGCGCGCAGUUUACUGCGAGCGGCAGACGGGUGAGUAACGCGUGGGAAUCUACCUUAAGCUACGGGAUAACAGAGAGAAAUUUCUGCUAAUACCGUAUGUGCCCUUUUGGGGAAAGAUUUAUCGGCUUAAGAUGAGUCCGCGUUGGAUUAGCGAGUUGGCGAGGUAAAGGCUCACCAAGGCGACGACCCAUAGCUGGUCUGAGAGGAGGAUCAGCCACACUGGGACUGCGACACGGCCCAGACUCCUACGGGAGGCAGCAGUGGGGAAUAUUGGACAAUGGGCGCAAGCCUGAUCCAGCCAUGCCGCGUGAGUGAUGAAGGCCUUAGGGCUGUAAAGCUCUUUCACCGGUGAAGAUAAUGACGGUAACCGGAGAAGAAGCCCCGGCUAACUUCGUGCCAGCAGCCGCCGUAAAAC